rnacentral:rRNA from 1 species
UACGUAGGUGGCGAGCGUUGUCCGGAUUUACUGGGCGUAAAGGGAGCGUAGGCGGACUUUUAAGUGAGAUGUGAAAUACCCGGGCUCAACUUGGGUGCUGUAUUUCAAACUGGAAGUCUAGAGUGCAGGAGAGGAGAAUGGAAUUCCUAGUGUAGCGGUGAAAUGCGUAGAGAUUAGGAAGAACACCAGUGGCGAAGGCGAUUCUCUGGACUGUAACUGACGCUGAGGCUCGAAAGCGUGGGGAGCAAACAGGAUUAGAUACCCGUGUA